GAUCCUAGCUCAGGAUGAACGCUAGCUACAGGCUUAACACAUGCAAGUCGAGGGGCAGCAUGGUCUUAGCUUGCUAAGGCCGAUGGCGACCGGCGCACGGGUGAGUAACGCGUAUCCAACCUGCCUUACACUCUUGGACAGCCUUCUGAAAAGGGAGAUUAAAUACAAGAUGUUAUCAUGAGUAAGCAUUUUCGCAUGAUUAAAGGUUUACCGGUGUAAGAUGGGGAUGCGUU
rnacentral:rRNA from 1 species